CUCUCCACGAGCGGAGCAGCAUGCAUUUCCUCCAAACCACCUGGUAGCCUGCAGUCACCCCGGCUGCCCCAUCCCUUGGCUACACCCAUCACAGGACCCUCCCGUCUCUCCCUCCCUCCCCGCCUGCUCUUUGAACUAUCCGAUGAAUCCCCUGGAGAUUAUGUGCAUUUAGAUGUUUUCCCUCCUCCAUCCUGAGUUUCCACGCUUUCUUCAUCCUUCUUUUCUCAAAGCUAUUGCUGUUAAAACCCCUGUCAGCCUCCAGAGGCCCGCCUCUUCCACCACUGUUCCUGUUCUGCUGUCAGUCUUUCUCUCUGAAUAAACGCCAUCUUAGAUCUCCUGUGAGAGUGAAGGCAGCAGGGAGCGUCUGCACUGCCGUCAGCUGUUCGUACUAUUUGAAAGCAUAUCAUAGGGGCAACAUCUCAGAAGUUACUUUAUUCGUGUGUCCUAGGUUUUACAGAUGUUCGAGGACACAAUUGGACAAAGUUCCAUCCCCAUUUGAGGUUGUUGAAGGUUUUAAGAACAGGUCAGGCGGAGGGGUCGCCAGUCAGCUAGGAAAGGCUGUUUGAGAUGUUACUGCAGUGUCAGGACAUUUCAGCUAAAUUGCCUCAGCUUAGGUAAAAACGUUUUAUUUUCAAAAUGGAUGUUCUGUGUAGAUUUUAGGUGGUUUGUAAGGAGCAUUACUUUGGUGUUUAAUACUGUUAGAGCAAUUUAAGAAUUGAUGAUUAGCACAGAUCACACUAUUUAUUGAUUUUGUUUGUUUUUAUGUUGUCAAUUAAGAUUUUUGAGUGACUUGAGGCAGUUUUCUUAAAUAUGAUAUGCUGCUGGUGUGCUGAUACUGAAACACUAUCUGAUCAAAACACCACAUGCCUUGGCCAUCAGUUGUCAAUAAGGCCGAGCAUAUCGGUGGUUUCCUACAGCUAACAACUGGAUCUUAAACCUGUGA